AUUGAACGCUGGCGGCAGGCCUAACACAUGCAAGUCGAGCGAGCGGCGGACGGGUGAGUAAUGCCUAGGAAUCUGCCUGGUGGAGGGGGAUAACUACUGGAAACGGUAGCUAAUACCGCAUACCAUCGGAUGUGCCCAGUGGGGAUUAGCUAGUAGGUGGGGUAACGGCUCACCUAGGCGACGAUCCCUAGCUGGUCUGAGAGGAUGACCAGCCACACUGGAACUGAGACACGGUCCAGACUCCUACGGGAGGCAGCAUUGGUGCAUAUUGCACAAUGGGCGCAAGCCUGAUGCAGCCAUGCCGCGUGUAUGAAGAAGGCCUUCGGGUUUUAAAGUACUUUCAGCGGGGAGGCGUUACCCGCAGAAGAAGCACCGGCUAACUCCGUGCCAGCCGCCGCGGUAAUUC
rnacentral:rRNA from 1 species